GACGUAGGGGGCGAGCGUUGUCCGGAUUUAUUGGGCGUACAGAGCGCGUAGUCGGCCCGGAAAGUCGGAUGUGAAAACCCGGGGCUCAACCCCGGGCCUGCAUCCGAUACUCCCGGGCUGGAGGCAGGUAGGGGAGAUCGGAAUUCCUGGUGUAGCGGUGAAAUGCGCAGAUAUCAGGAGGAACACCGGUGGCGAAGGCGGAUCUCUGGGCCUGUCCUGACGCUGAGGCGCGAAAGCGUGGGGAGCGAACAGG
rnacentral:rRNA from 1 species